rnacentral:rRNA from 1 species
CGGCAAUCGGGGGGAACCCUGACCGAGCAACGCCGCGUGAGUGAAGAAGGUUUUCGGAUCGUAAAGCUCUGUUGUAAGAGAAGAACGGGUGUGAGAGUGGAAAGUUCACACUGUGACGGUAUCUUACCAGAAAGGGACGGCUAACUACGUGCCAGCAGCCGCGGUAAUACGUAGGUCCCGAGCGUUGUCCGGAUUUAUUGGGCGUAAAGCGAGCGCAGGCGGUUAGAUAAGUCUGAAGUUAAAGGCUGUGGCUUAACCAUAGUAUGCUUUGGAAACUGUUUAACUUGAGUGCAGAAGGGAGAGUGGAAUUCCAUGUGUAGCGGUGAAAUGCGUAGAUAUAUGGAGGAACACCGGUGGCGAAAGCGGCUCUCUGGUCUGUAACUGACGCUGAGGCUCGAAAGCGUGGGGAGCAAACAGGAUUAGAUACCCUGGUAG